rnacentral:rRNA from 1 species
CCUUUGGAGGGUUUGAUCCUGGCUCAGAGUGAACGCUGGCGGCGUGGAUUAGGCAUGCAAGUCGAGCGAUCUUAUUUUUCUUUUGUUUCGGGGUAACCUGAGGCAGAAGAAAAAUGCGAUAGCGGCAAACGGGUGAGUAACGCGUUGGUAACCUACCUUGAGGAGGAGGGCAGCCCCGUGAAAACGGGGGUAAUACUCCAUGAUCUCGUGGAUCGCAAGAUUCAUGAGCAAAGAUGGCCUCUAUUUAUAAGCUGUCGCCUUAAGAGGGGCCUGCGUCCUAUCAGGUAGUUGGUGAGGUAAUAGCUCACCAAGCCAAAGACGGGUAGCUGGCGUAAGAGCGUGACCAGCCACAUCGGGACUGAGACACUGCCCGGACUCCUACGGGAGGCUGCAGUCGAGAAUCUUUCACAAUGGACGAAAGUCUGAUGAUGCGACGCCGCGUGGGGGAUGACGGUCUUCGGAUUGUAAACCCAUUUUAUUAAGGAGGAACGCUGAAGAGUUAAUAGCUUUUCAGUCUGACUGUACUUGAUGAAUAAGCCACGGCUAACUCCGUGCCAGCAGCCGCGGUAAUACGGAGGUGGCGAGCGUUACUCGGUUUGACUGGGUGUAAAGGGUCCGUAGGCGGCCUUGUAAGUGGAAGGUGAAAUCUUUCGGCUUAACCGAAAAACUGCCUUUUAGACUGCAUGGCUUGAGGAUGGAAGAGGAGAGUGGAACUGUCAGUGUAAAGGUGAAAUUUGUGGAUAUUGACAGGAACGCCCGUGGAGAAGUCGGCUCUCUGGUCCAUAUCUGACGCUGAGGGACGAAAGCUAGGGGAGUGAACAGGAUUAGAUACCCUGGUAAUCCUAGCCGUAAACGAUGGGCACUAGGUGUUCGUCCGUAAGGAUGGGCGCCGCAGCUAACGCAUUAAGUGCCCCACCUGGGGACUACGGCCGCAAGGCUAAAACUCAAAGGAAUUGACGGGGACCCGCACAAGCGGUGGAACACGUGGUUUAAUUCGAUGCUACGCGAGAAACCUUAUCCAAGGCUUGACAUGCAUGAUGUAAUGCCGAUGAAAAUCGGGAUGACCGGUAUCCAAUCCGGAGCUUGCACAGGUGCUGCAUGGCUGUCGUCAGCUCGUGCCGUGAGGUGUUGGGUUAAGUCCCGCAACGAGCGCAACCCUUACCCUUAGU